UACGUAGGGACCGAGCGUUGUCCGGAAUCAUUGGGCGUAAAGAGCUUGUAGGCGGUCUGUCGCGUCUGCUGUGAAAAUCCGGGGCUCAACCCCGGACUUGCAGUGGGUACGGGCAGACUAGAGUGUGGUAGGGGAGACUGGAAUUCCUGGUGUAGCGGUGAAAUGCGCAGAUAUCAGGAGGAACACCGAUGGCGAAGGCAGGUCUCUGGGCCACUACUGACGCUGAGAAGCGAAAGCAUGGGGAGCGAACAGG
rnacentral:rRNA from 1 species